UUAGAUCAAUGUUAUUUAGCUGAAUCACAGCUCCAGAACAGAGGUAUCGGGUACAUUUCUAAAGGCACCUUCUUGGGUACAACAUUCUCGCCUUCUCUGAACUGAAGCAACAAGACAGGAAUAUACAAAUUCUUAUUGGUUUAGGAACUAGCUCUGUUUCCUCGAAGAAUCUUUCAGUCCGGACAUGACUCUGCCUUGGCUCUCAGCUGUGAUAAUCGUGUCUGUUCUAAAAGGCAGCUAUGGAGCAGACUCAGUGACCCAAACUGAAGGCAGCGUUAUCAUCUCCCAAGGGGACCCGGUGCGUCUGAACUGUAGCUAUCAAUUUUCUGUCCCUGCUUAUCCCUUCUGGUACGUGCACCUCCCCAACCAGCCCCCCAGGCUCUUCCUGAGAGACCUGGGACGGGAGGACUCCGAUGAAGGGAUCAGAAAAGGGUUCGAUGCCACCCACGAUAAACAGCACAAAUCCUUCCACCUGUGGAAACCGUCCAGCGAACUGAGCGACUCCGCGACCUAUUACUGCGCCGCGAGAGACACAGUGACACGGACCAACACGGGAGCUGAGCAAAAACCGCGCAGGGAGGGGAUGUGCGGAGCUGCGGGGAGGCAGAGGCGGGCACCUGGGUGUGGAGAAGGCAUCUAUGGAGCAGACUCGGUGACCCAAACUGACGACAGCGUUAUCAUCUCCCAAGGGGACCCGGUGCGUCUGAACUGCACAUAUCAGAUUUCUGGAUUUCCUUAUCCCUUCUGUUUUACCAUCUGGGGAAUGAAGAAGGUCAUGCAUCACCGGGCUAAGUGA